UUUUGGCACCACGACCUUCGGGCGCUUAUUUUUGGGCACGGCUUUGCCCGCGGCUUAUUUUUGGUGCCCCGAGGCCCCUCGCAAAGUCUCGCCCCAUUCCGAGUCCGGCGGACGAACUUCGCCCGCGCCCCCCACCAAGGCUAUAGCCCACCCGUUUUUUGGCCAUUUUUCCGCUGGGGGGUUUUGGCACCAAGACCUUCGGGCGCUUAUUUUUGGGCGCGGCUUUGACCUGCGGCUUAUUUUUGGCACCCCGAGGCCCCUCGCAAAGUCUCGCCCCAUUCCGAGUCCGGAGGACGAACUUCGCCCGCGCCCCCCACCAAGGCUAUAGCCCACCCGUUUUUUGGCUAUUUUUCCGCUGGGGGGUUUUGGCACCACGACCUUCGGGUGCUUAUUUUUGGACGCGGCUGUGCCCGCGACUUCCCGCGGGCACCUCGAGGCCCCUCGUAAAGUCUCGCCCCAUUCCGAGUCCGGCGGACGAACUUCGCCCGCGCCCCCCACCAAGGCUAUAGCCCACCCGUUUUUUGGCCAUUUUUCCGCUGGGGGGUUUUGGCACCACGAACUUCGGGCGCUUAUUUUUGGACGCGGCUGUGCCCGCGACUUCCCGCGGGCACCCCGAGGCCCCUCGCAAAGUCUCGCCCCAUUCCGAGUCCGGCGGACGAACUUCGCCCGCGCCCCCCACCAAGGCUAUAGCCCACCCGUUUUUUGGCCAUUUUUCCGCUGGGGGGUUUUGGCACCACGACCUUCGGGCGCUUAUUUUUGGACGCGGCUGUGCCCGCGACUUCCCGCGGGCACCCCGAGGCCCCUCGCAAAGUCUCGCCCCAUUCCGAGUCCGGCGGACGAACUUCGACCGCGCCCCCCACCAAGGCUAUAGCCCACCCGUUUUUUGGCCAUUUUUCCGCUGGGGGGUUUUGGCACCACGACCUUCGGGCGCUUAUUUUUGGACGCGGCUGUGCCCGCGACUUCCCGCGCGCACCUCGAGGCCCCUCGCAAAGUCUCACCCCAUUCCAAGUCCGGCGGACGAACUUCGCCCGCGCCCCCCACCAAGGCUAUAGCCCACCCGUUUUUUGGCCAUUUUUCCGCUGGGGGGUUUUGGCACCACGACCUUUGGGCACAUAUUUUUGGGCGCGGCUUUGUCCGCGGCUUAUUUUUGGUACCCCGAGGCCCCUCGCAAAGUCUCGCCCUAUUCCGAGUCCGGCGGACGAACUUCGCCCGCGCCCCCCACCAAGGCUAUAGCCCACCCGUUUUUUGGCCAUUUUUCCGCUGGGGGGUUUUGGCACCACGACCUUCGGGUGCUUAUUUUUGGGCGCGGCUUUGGCCGCGGCUUAUUUUUGGUACCCCGAGGCCCCUCGCAAAGUGUCGCCCUAUUCCGAGUCCGGCGGACGAACUUCGCCCGCGCCCCCCACCAAGGCUAUAACCCACCCGUUUUUUGGCCAUUUUUCCGCUUGGGGGUUUUGGCACCACGACCUUCGGGCGCUUAUUUUUGGACGCGAUUGUGCCCGCGACUUCCCGCGGGCACCUCGAGGCCCCUCGCAAAGUCUCGCCCCAUUCCAAGUCCGGCGGACGAACUUCGCCCGCGCCCCCCACCAAGGCUAUAGCCCACCCGUUUUUUGGCCAUUUUUCCGCUGGGGGGUUUUGGCACCACGACCUUUGGGCACAUAUUUUUGGGCGCGGCUUUGUCCGCGGCUUAUUUUUGGUACCCCGAGGCCCCUCGCAAAGUCUCGCCCUAUUCCGAAUCCGGCGGACGAACUUCGCCCGCGCCCCCCACCAAGGCUAUAGCCCACCCGUUUUUUGGCCAUUUUUCCGCUAUGGGGUUUUGGCACCACGACCUUCGGGCACUUAUUUUUGGACGCGGCUGUGCCCGCGACUUCCCGCGGGCACCCCGAGGCCCCUCGCACAGUCUCGCCCCAUUCCGAGUCCGGCGGACGAACUUCGCCCGCGCCCCCCACCAAGGCUAUAGCCCACCCGUUUUUUGGCCAUUUUUCCGCUGGGGGGUUUUGGCACCACGACCUUCGGGUGCUUAUUUUUGGACGCGGCUGUGCCCGCGACUUCCCGCGGGCACCUCGAGGGCCCCUCGUAAAGUCUCGCCCCCAUUCCGAGUCCGGGCGGACGAAUUUCGCCCGCGCCCCCCACCAGGGCUAUAGCCCACCCGUUUUUUGGCCAUUUUUCCGCUGGGGGGUUUUGGCACCACGAACUUCGGGCGCUUAUUUUUGAACGCGGCUGUGCCCGCGACUUCCCGCGUGCACCCCGAGGCCCCUCGCAAAGUCUCGCCCCAUUCCGAGUCCGGCGGACGAACUUCGCCCGCGCCCCCCACCAAGGCUAUAGCCCACCCGUUUUUUGGCCAUUUUUCCGCUGGGGGGUUUUGGCACCAAGACCUUCGGGCGCUUAUUUUUGGGCGCGGCUUUGCCCGCGGCUUAUUUUUGGCACCCCGAGGCCCCUCGCAAAGUCUCGCCCCAUUCCGAGUCCGGCGGACGAACUUCGCCCGCGCCCCCCACCAAGGCUAUA
rnacentral:lncRNA from 1 species